rnacentral:rRNA from 1 species
UCAUUCUAGAUACACUUUCCAGUACAUCUACUAUGUUACGACUUAUCUUACCUUAAUAAUAAGAGCGACGGGCGAUGUGUACAUAUUUUAGAGCUAAAAUCAAAUUAUUAAUCUUUAUAAUUUUACAACCAAAUCCACCUUCAAAAAUUUUUUCAUAAUUUUUUCCGUUUAAAUAAAUUUAUUGUAACCCAUUAUUACUUAAAUAUAAGCUACACCUUGAUCUGAUAUAAAUUUUAAUAAAAAUUAUUGAAUAUUAUUAUUCUUUUAAAAUAUUCUGAUAACGACGGUAUAUAAACUGGUUACAAACUUAAGUAAGGUCCAUCGUGGAUUAUCGAUUACAAAACAGGUUCCUCUGGAUAGACUAAAAUACCGCCAAAUUUUUUAAGUUUCAAGAACAUAACUAUUACUACUUAAAUAUU